GUGCCGGAGACAAUAUUUAUUUUGUUUAUAUGUCGAAAGGAAAAUGCUUUGAAAAAUUAUAGUUUCAAUCCGAUCCGAAUUUGAGGUUUUGAUAAAUUCUUGUUUUCUUAAAUUUUGCAAAAUUAAAACCAGUCGCUUGAAUUAAUUUGUGUAUCUAGUUAUUUAUAUGUUUAAUCCGACUAAUGUGGUGUAUGGUUGCUUACCCAGGUACUGAGACCGAUUCGCAGGGCGGGGCUGGGAGCGAGUGAACGUUAGAUGUAGCUAGAUUUGAUUCUAGCCUCUUCGUCUUAUUUCUAUUGCAUUUAGAUAUGAACUUUGAACUUCGUAGAUAAUCAUUCGUUUAUCUGUUCCUACUUUAUUGUUUCUUCGUACCUACAAUAUCUGUUAGAACAAUUUCGGUUUGUGUUGCAUCAUAANUUGUAUGCUUAAUCCGACUAAUGUGGUGUAUGGUUGCUUACCCAGGUACUGAGACCGAUUCGCAGGGCGGGGCUGGGAGCGAGUGAACGUUAGAUGUAGCUAGAUUUGAUUCUAGCCUCUUCGUCUUAUUUCUAUUGCAUUUAGAUAUGAACUUUGAACUUCGUAGAUAAUCAUUCGUUUAUCUGUUCCUACUUUAUUGUUUCUUCGUACCUACAAUAUCUGUUAGAACAAUUUCGGUUU
rnacentral:lncRNA from 1 species